rnacentral:misc_RNA from 1 species
AACAACAACAACAACAAUAAGUGUUCAGGAUUUGUGAUUAUAUUUGAUUUAAAUAAACCAAUUUCAGCAUAAAAAAUCAGAUAAAAAAAAAAAAACAAGAGAACUCUUCCCACCAAAUUUUCAGACAUCAGAUAACGUACAUUUAUUAUAAGUUUAAAAAUUAAAUAAAUGAGCCUACCUUCAACAAACCAAGUAGAAUUGA